rnacentral:lncRNA from 13 species
UUCUAGAAGAAGGAUGCAAGUUCUAAACAAUCAAAAAAUGAUAAAGAAGCAACGAUAGCUUUUUUGAGGAAGGAAAUAUCGGAUAGCUGUAGUCAAGCUUCUGUUUUUUAUAAGCAGCCCAACGUACAAAAAGGAAAAAAAGUUCAAGACGUAUUGUUUAAAAAUUCAAAAAAAACAUCUAGCGAUGAUUCGGACAAAGAUAGUGAUAAAAAUUCAGUUGAAAGUGCAGACUUUAACGAACAUUUAGAUGUAACUACCCAUGCUACAAAUGCGAUCGAGGAAGAAAACAGGAAGUUACGGGAAUUGUUGCAAAAGAACG